rnacentral:rRNA from 1 species
ACCCUUAGAUGUUCUGGGCUGCACGCGCGCUACACUGAAGGUAUCAGCAUGUGUCUCCCUCCCAGAGAUGGGCGGGUAACCCUCUGAAUCACCUUCGUGGUAGGGAUCGGGGCUUGCAAUUAUUCCCCGUGAACCAGGAAUUCCUAGUAGACGCGAGUCAUAAGCUCGCAUCGAUUAAGUCCCUGCCCUUUGUACACACCGCCCGUCGCUACUACCGAUUGAACGUUUUAGUGAUGCAUUUGGACCGACGCUUACCAGUCUAACCGCUGGUUUGUGUUGGAAAGAUUUCCAAACUUGAGCGUUUAGAGGAAGUAAAAGUCGUAACA